rnacentral:lncRNA from 1 species
CUCCUUCUUCUUCUUUCCAACCGACACAGACCCCUCCCCCUUCCUCCAUUUCUUCCACGGAAAGGCCACCGUGAUGGUGGCUCGGCCCCCAACCGACGACACCCAGCCGCCGUCGCCGCCGCCGGUGGCCAACCGACGAGGGGAAGAGGAGGAGAGGAUGGGAUCCCAAGGAAGAAGACCUCGGAUCCACCCCCCUCAUCACAUACAUAGCCUAGAAAACCCUCUCCGACCCUCACAUAGACCCGACCGACCCCCAAUACCAUGGAUCUCG